rnacentral:rRNA from 1 species
CCUACGGGAGGCAGCAGUGAGGAAUAUUGGUCAAUGGACGAGAGUCUGAACCAGCCAAGUAGCGUGAAGGAUGACUGCCCUAUGGGUUGUAAACUUCUUUUAUAUGGGAAUAAAAUGUUCCACGUGUGGGAUUUUGUAUGUACCAUAUGAAUAAGGAUCGGCUAACUCCGUGCCAGCAGCCGCGGUAAUACGGAGGAUCCGAGCGUUAUCCGGAUUUAUUGGGUUUAAAGGGAGCGUAGGUGGAUGUGCAAGUCAGUUGUGAAAGUUUGCGGCUCAACCGUGAAACUGCAGUUGAAACUGGCGGUCUUGAGUACAGUAGAGGUAGGCGGAAUUCGUGGUGUAGCGGUGAAAUGCUUAGAUAUCACGAAGAACUCCGAUUGCGAAGGCAGCUCACUGGACUGCAACUGACGCUGAGGCUCGAAAGUGUGGGUAUCAAACAGGAUUAGAUACCCGUGUAGUC